rnacentral:tRNA from 1 species
GGUCGCGUGGCACAAUUGGUUAGCGCGUGGUGCUAAUAACUCUUCGUUAUGAGACGCCAAGGUCGAGAGUUCGAGCCUCUCCGUGACCA